UUUGCCUCGGCUCAUCAGUAAAUUCGAAUAAAAAAAAACGACAAACAAAAAAAUUCGAAAAUUAAGGUAAAUUUUUUUUUUUUUUUUUUUGUACUUCCUCAAA